AUUGAACGCUGGCGGCAGGCCUAACACAUGCAAGUCGAACGAGUGGCGGACGGGUGAGUAAUGCUUGGGAAUCUAGCUUAUGGAGGGGGAUAACUACGGGAAACUGUAGCAAAUACCGCGAACCAUAGGCUGAGCCCAAGUGGGUUUAGUUAGGUGGUGAGGUAAAGGCUCACCAAGCAGACGAACGCGAGCUGGUCUGAGAGGAUGACCAGCCACACUGGGCGUGAGACACGGCCCAGACUCCUACGGGAGGCAGCAGUGGGGAAUAUUGCGCAAUGGGGGCAACCUGACGCAGCCAUGCCGCGUGAAUGAAGAAGGCCUUCGGGUGGUAAAGUUCUUUCGGUAGCGAGGCGUUAACUACAGAAGAAGCACCGGCUAACUCCGUGCCAGCAGCCGCGGUAAUUC
rnacentral:rRNA from 1 species